CCUACUGGUGGCAGCAGUGAGGAAUAUUGGUCAAUGGACGAGAGUCUGAACCAGCCAAGUAGCGUGAAGGAUGACUGCCCUAUGGGUUGUAAACUUCUUUUAUAUGGGAAUAAAAUGUUCCACGUGUGGGAUUUUGUAUGUACCCUAUGAAUAAGGAUCGGCUAACUCCGUGCCAGCAGCCGCGGUAAUACGGAGGAUCCGAGCGUUAUCCGGAUUUAUUGGGUUUAAAGGGAGCGUAGGUGGAUUUUUAAGUCAGUGGUGAAAGUUUUCGGCUCAACCGUAAAAUAGCAGUUGAAACUGGCAGUCGUGAGUACAGUAGAGGUGGGCGGAAGGCGUGGUGUAGCGGUGAAAUGCUUAGAUAUCACGAAGAACUCCGAUUGCGAAGGCAGCUUACUGGACUGCAACUGACACUGAGGCUCGAAAGUGUGGGUAUCAAACAGGAUUAGAUACCCCAGUAGUC
rnacentral:rRNA from 1 species